rnacentral:rRNA from 1 species
GACGAACCGUGCGAACGUUAUUCGGAUUCACUGGGCUUAAAGGGCGCGUAGGCGGACUCGCCAGUCCGGGGUGAAAUCUUUCGGCUUAACCGGAAAAGUGCCUUGGAUACUGCGAGCCUUGAGGAAGGUAGGGGCAUGUGGAACUUCCGGUGGAGCGGUGAAAUGCGUUGAUCUACAGAGGAACACCAAAAAAGGCGAAGGCAGUCAACUAUUCUGUUCCUGACAUUGAGGCAUGAAAGCGUGGGGAGCAAACCGG